AGGAUAAACGCUGGCGGCGUGCAUGAGACAUGCAAGUCGAACGGACACGUAGGGCUUGCUCUUCGUGUUAGUGGCGGACGGCUGAGUAACGCGUAGGUGACCUGCCCCGAAGUGGGGAAUAACUGCCCGAAAGGGUGGCUAAUACCGCAUGUGGUGGUGUGUUCAUUCACACCAGUAAAGCCGCAAGGCGCUUCGGGAGGGGCCUGCGUCCGAUUAGCUCGUUGGUGGGGUAACGGCUCACCAAGGCGACGAUCGGUAGGUGGUCUGAGAGGACGAUCACCCAGACUGGGGACUGAGACACGGCCCAGACUCCUACGGGAGGCAGCAGUCGGGAAUUUUGCGCAAUGGACGAAAGUCUGACGCAGCAACGCCGCGUGAGGGAUGAAGGCCUUCGGGUUGUAACCGUCUUUAUCAGGGAAGAUAAUGACGGUACCUGAUGAAUAAGUCACGGCUAACUACGUGCCAGCAGCCGCGGUAA
rnacentral:rRNA from 1 species